GGAAGGUCUCCUCUGCUAUUGGCUCUAGGGGUAGAUUUAAGUUCCCUGAAAUUAGUGAUAAAAGCAAUCUUACCAUCUCUAGUGCAAGCCAACCAUGUCCCACCUGCCUGCUCAUCUCUCCCACCCAGGAUCUGGUCUUCACUUCCCCACCAAGUCAGGGGCUUGGUUGGCCGGCUGUGGUACUCAUCUCUGUUGAGUAGCAAGAGGAAUGGGUAACGAGGAUGAGCUUGCCAUAGAAACAAUGCUAUGCACAUACUCUCUGUUAAUUUUACGCAAAAAUCCUAUUCAACAGUUUGGUUUGGACCAUCAGAUGACAUUUCAGCGUGACGAUGUAGCUUGUUUUUUCUGUAGGAAAUCAGCAUCCAGAAACUCUCCAGUAAAUUCAGGGUC
rnacentral:misc_RNA from 1 species